rnacentral:rRNA from 1 species
CCUACGGGAGGCAGCAGUGAGGAAUAUUGGUCAAUGGGCGCGAGCCUGAACCAGCCAAGUAGCGUGAAGGAUGACUGCCCUACGGGGUGUAAACUUCUUUUAUAAAGGAAUAAACUGCCGCACGUGUGCCUUUUUGUAUGUACCUUAUGAAUAAGGCUCGGCGAACUCCGUUCCAGCAGCCCCGGUAAUAAGGUGGGGCCAAGCUUUAUCCGGUUUUAUUGGGUUUAAAGGGAGCGUAGAUGGGUGGUUAAGUCCGUUGUGAAAGUUUGCGGCCCAACCGUAAAAUUGCAAUUGAUACUGGCAGCCUUGAGUACAGUUGAGGUAGGCGGAAUGCGUGGUGUAGCGGUGAAAUGCAUAGAUAUCACGCAGAACUCCGAUUGCGAAGGCAGCCCACUAAACUGCGACUGACAUUGAUGCACGAAAGUGUGGGUAUCAAACAGGAUUAGAUACCCCUGUAGUC